rnacentral:rRNA from 1 species
UACAGAGGGUGCGAGCGUUAAUCGGAAUUACUGGGCGUAAAGCGUGCGUAGACGGUUAUUUAAGUCGGGUGUGAAAGCCCCGGGCUCAACCUGGGAAUUGCAUUCGAGACUGAAUAGCUAGGGUACGGUAGAGGGAAGCGGAAUUUCCGGUGUAGCGGUGAAAUGCGUAGAUAAUCGGAAGGAACAUCAGUGGCGAAAGCGGCUUCCUGGACCAGUACCGACGUCAGGCACGAAAGCCGUGGGGAGCAAACAGGA